AGCAGCCGCGGUAAUUCCAGCUCCAAUAGCGUAUAUUAAAGUUGUUGCAGUUAAAAAGCUCGUAGUUGAAUUUCGGGACUAAUAUGUCGGUCGUGCCUCGGUACGUACUGGUUUAUUGGUUUCUCCUUUCUGAAGAACCAUGAUGUCAUUUAUUUGGUGUCGUGGGGAAUCAGGACUGUUACUUUGAAAAAAUUAGAGUGUUUAAAGCAGGCUCACGCUUGAAUACAUUAGCAUGGAAUAAUGAAAUAGGACGUUUGAUUCUAUUUUGUUGGUUUCUAGGAUCGACGUAAUGAUUAAUAGGGAUAGUUGGGGGCAUUAGUAUUCAAUUGUCAGAGGUGAAAUUCUUGGAUUUAUUGAAGACUAACUACUGCGAAAGCAUUUGCCAAGGAUGUUUUCAUUAAUCAAGAACGAAAGUUAGGGGAUCGAAGACGAUCAGAUACCGUCGUAGUCUUAACCAUAAACUAUGCCGACUAGGGAUCGGAUGAUGUUAAUUUUUUAAUGACUCAUUCGGCGUCUUACG
rnacentral:misc_RNA from 1 species